rnacentral:lncRNA from 1 species
CCCCAUUUCAAUUCAUAUUUAUUAUUUCAAGUGAGCUAGUCUUACCCCUAUUCAUUUAAAGUGAACUAUACUUUUGGGUGGGUUAAUUAUUCUUAUUCGCAUUAUUCAAAUACCAGAGUUACUGAUAUAUUCUAUUAUAUUCAUUGUUUCUAUAUAUAUGUUUUUAUUAUGUAUGUUCAUUGUUCAUUGUAUUAUUAUUAUACACUUGCAUUCGUGACCAGCAAACAAUAAACAUCUAUUUUUAUACAAGCUUGUUCUUAUUCCAGUAUUCUAAGUUCCAGUUCAGUGCAGUUCCAGCACAAGUUCACACAAGCAGUACACGGUCACUCACACUACUUAAACAAACACCAGCAAGUCCAGUAACUCUGUAUUACCCUACCCAAACAAAGUUCACA